AGAUUGGUAUGUUCUCUCUUCUUCAAUACGCUGGUUCUUCUCAUUCUUCGCCGCCGAUUCAUCAUCCAAAACUGAUCCAUCAUCCAAACCCGAUUGGCUACGCUUAAGCUUAAACCUGGUGGAUUUUUUGUUUUGAAAGACAACCUUGCAAGAUCUGGUACUGGGACAGGUGUAAUCUCCCUAUUUUAUUUUAAUUAUAUUGUAUUUUUAUUAGAUUAUACAGUAAAGUUCAAUGUUUUGUGUUAUACCUUAGUGUUACAUGGUGAUACUUUUACCUAUUGUUUCUAAAUAGUGCACAUAAGACAGUUUGUACGAUUUUGAUGAAUGUUUGAAGUGGAAUAAAAUAAAAGUGGGAGCAAUCUGCUCAUCAAUCCAGGUAAUUUUUCUAAAUGUUUCUUUGGGUAAUCGACCGAGUAUCUCAGUAUUAUAAAUUGAUGGGGUUUAAUGGUUUCUUACAUCACCUUAUGUAAUUCUUCGUGUUCUUGCUUAUUAAGUUAGGACUUAGGGUUUUUGUGGAUUGUUGAUUGUUUAUAGGAUUAUUUGUGUGAAACUGUUGUAGGGUUGAUUUGAAAUUCUUUAUAUGUUGGGUGAAUUUAUGUCAAAUAACAAUGAUGGAGCAAAAAGUACGUCUGGUGGGAUGAGCUUGACUUUGGUAGGUCCUAAACAAUUUUGGUGGAGGUCUUGCUGGGAUCUUUUUUAUUUUCUUUAUGUUCUUGAAUGAGCUGUGUGUUUAUGAAUCGAACGUAACAAAACGGAAACUCCAGUUUCUUCUCUUUCUUCUGAAUCGAAUGUUGGUUUAGCUAAUUCAACAGACGAUCAAGUUCAACCACCAACACCUAAUGAAUAUGAUCAUCAACUAGAGCCAUAUGUAUUCAGAUGUUUGUCAUGCUUCAGCAUUUUAAUGCCCACAGGAAAUGGGUUUAAGUUAUUUCGCGGCUUUGGAAAUAAAAACAAUGAAGAAAAAAGUGAACUUUCUCUGAAGGAAGUGCCUUUAAAGAAAAGCUGGUUUUCGAACAUAUUUAAAUUGGAAAAGGUGGAGAAUAAUGUCACUGAUCUUAACGUUUCAGUAGCCGUUCAGAGUUUAGAUAUGAAAAAUAAUGCUGGUGGAGUCUCUUCUCUAUCUUCUAACCUAAAUCCGUCAAAUGCAAGAAGCUAACGCACAUAUCUCCAACGGUACAACAGAUUUGGAAAAAAGUCAACUUUCGUUAGAUAAAGUUUUAAGAGAGAGCAGCGGUCAGUAAAUUUAUUCAGAACAUAUAUUCGGUUCAAAUAAGAACCAAUAAAAAUCUAAUCAACGUGAAAACAAUAUAGUGUAUUAGUGAACACAUUAUUCGAGUGCAGUGACAUUUUCGUAAUUAACGUAAAACCAUGUGUAUUCAGUAUUCACCAGUGAAUACACUAUAUACAAAUGAAUCAAAUUUUGACUUGACGUGUUUUCACGCUACUUACGAAAUUGCCACUGAGUAAUAAAAGCUUCAUGGAACAGAUCUGACGGCCACAUGUGUGUGUGUGUGUGUGUGUCUGUUUUAGUAAACUUAUAUAAAAUCUACUUUGACUAUGUUUUAAGUCAAAUUACAUGACAAUGAUAUUUGACCAUGGUAUGAUUAUGAAGUUUCAGUUCAAGCACCAAAUGCUAUGCAUGAAGUUUCACAACACGUUGUUCAGAACAAUGUUGAAAUUCAUCUUGAAGAGCCUCUGACUGUCAACAAGGAUGUCUUAACAGACGGUCAACAAGUUAAUCUUCUCGAAGAUGUGAACAACAUUGAAUGGAUUAUAUUUGUUUAGCGUCUCUUAUUUCGCUGCAUGAACAGGACACGUUUUCUAACUUUCGCUCUCUAUGUGUUUAUUAGUUGUUCAUUGUUCUCAUGUCAUUGCUUUUGGAUUUUCGGGGAUGAUAACGUAGGUCAUCGCCGGUUUUCAGGUAAACGGGAGUGGAUAGUUUGUUGGCGUUGCUGAAAUGAUGGGGCUUGAUUUCUUAUACAGCCAUGUAACACAAGCCACCACCACAAUCUUGCACCUUAAUUCUCAUUAAGUUCAAUAGGAUGAAGACUCUUGGUUUCAAGUAGAAGGUUAUGUGCUUGCUAAAUUUUGUGCGUUUACCAAUGAAUCAACGUAUCGACUCAAUUUUUAUAGGAUCUGCUUAUGAGAAAAGGCCCGAUUUUUGGUUCCACUUUUGGCUCAAAUGGUUCUACCGCAUCUGCUACUUAUGAUGUUGUGACGAGUAGAGAGUUAUCCAACUCGGUUUGUUUUUAUUCUCCUCUGCGUAAUCAGGACAAACGGCAAGUGAUGACCUGUAUGAGGUUCAACUAACUAUACCAGUGGAAGGUUAUGAGUUGGAUAUACUCAUGUUCUCUUGGUGAUGGUGAACGGGAGUGGAUAGUUUGUUGGCGUUGCUGAAAUGAUGGGGCUUGAUUUCUUAUACAGCCAUGUAACACAAGACACCACCACAAUCUUGCACCUUAAUUCUCAUUAAGGAUUGAAGAUAUCGAUCGCAAGCAUAGAUGUUUGGAGUACUGAAGUACUAAAUCCUACCCGAAUAAUAGAGAUUAGAGAUGCUACUAACUUUUUUAGGCGAGAACAUGAGGUUGACUUUGAGUUUUGUAGUGUUAUAGCUCUUUUACUUUAUUAUUCCAGAGAUGAGCAACAAAUGGAGGUUAUCAGAAACCCUAAAACAAAAAAUCAAUAUCUGAAAACAGAUCGGUUCUUAGGGUUUCGCAUCGCAUCAUGGGCAGUCGCAAUACCAAUCCCAAUCGCAAUCGCAAUCGCAAGAAGAAACGUAAGAUGAGCCGUGCGGAAAGAACGUACGAGCGACAAGGAGAAUGCAGCAUCCCUUAUUGCGGACUACGACACCUCUCUGCCUAAAUACGAUAUUUCAGGCUAUACCUAUCUCACAUAUCCGUAUGUUAAUGAGUUUGAUGAUGACGCACGACUAUCUAUCAGCAUGGUUUUUGAGCUUAUGAGAACUAUUUACUCACGGAUAACGCCUACUCCAAAGAAAUUUAUGGAAUGGAGUGGGAGUUGGAUGUCAUUCUACUGUAAACUAUGUUCCUGUUUUGGCAUCGAUUAUCUGCAUCUAGAGGCUGCUUCCAAGGACGAUGUGGUUUUGAUGACUCGCAGAAUCCUGUGUUUAAGCACAAGACGAAGCUUAGCAGCAACGAUGAGGCUUUUGUACUCUCGAAGAAAGAGAUUAACAAGAUCUUACGUUUUGUUAUCUGCUCACCGCGGUUACCUCCUCAGACCACGCUUACUCGAUGGAAUGAGUAUCGGAUAUCAUUCUAUUCUAAAAUGUGUUCCUACUUUCGCGUUGAUUAUAAGCGUUUGGCAGCUGCUGAUACUACUUAGUUUUCAGCAAAUUACAACUUCACCAUGCAUGGUUGUUUUCUCUCAUCUGUUAAAAAACCGGAUUUUAUUUAAUAUGUAUUUGUGGUUGUAACGAAAGACUAUAAUUUAAAUGUC
rnacentral:lncRNA from 1 species